GACGAACGCUGGCGGCGUGCUUAACACAUGCAAGUCGAACGGGCCUGUCUUCUUUUUUGGGGGGUGGGUUGAGUGGCGAACGGGUGAGUAUCACGUGAGUAACCUGCCCUUCGGUCCUGGAUAACCGCUUGAAAGGGCGGCUAAUACGGGGUGGUCCGGCUGGUCCGCAUGGGCUGGUCGGGAUAGAUUCACUGUUUUUGGUGUUUCGGCGGGGGAUGGGCUCGCGGCCUAUCAGCUUGUUGGUGGGGUGAUGGCCUACCAAGGCGGUGACGGGUAGCCGGCCUGAGAGGGUGGGCGGCCACACUGGGACUGAGAUACGGCCCAGACUCCUGCGGGAGGCAGCAGUGGGGGGUAUUGCACAAUGGGCGGAAGCCUGAUGCAGCGACGUCGCGUGAGGGAUGGAGGCCUUCGGGUUGUGAACCUCUGUUUCCGGUGGUGAAGGCCCUGUCCGUGUGGUGGGGUUGACGGUAGCCGGGGAUGAAGCGCCGGCUAACUACGUG
rnacentral:rRNA from 1 species